CAACAGUCCACCAAACACUGUAACAUCAAAGUCAAUUUUCUCAUUCACCUAAGCUCCUUCUAGUCCCAAACAAGUCCUUGGUUAUUUUUAAAUUAUGCCAGCUCUAAAUCAUAGCUAUUUAACAAAACCAUCUCCAAACUAAAUACAAACUGGCCUCAAAAUGGAUGUGAUAUUAGUAUAGAAUAAUAAAAAUAUAAAUAGCUUUGUUUGCUGAAGGUAUAAUUUCCUGUCCUUAUCUUAGAGGGCAGAGACCAUGUUUUCCUUGACUUGCAUGA
rnacentral:lncRNA from 1 species